GGAAGGCAAUCGCAGCCGGUGCUGCGGCCGGGCUUCAAACCCGGUUGGGGGCGGCAGCCGCUCCUGGGUGAGUUCGACUCUCACUGCCUUCCGCCA
rnacentral:tRNA from 13 species